rnacentral:rRNA from 1 species
AUACGGAGGGUGCAAGCGUUACUCGGAAUCACUGGGCGUAAAGCGCGCGCAGGCGGCUAUUUAAGUUGGAUGUGAAAGCCUAUGGCUCAACCAUAGAACUGCAUCCAAAACUAUUUAGCUAGAGUGUGGGAGAGGAAGAUGGAAUUAGUUGUGUAGGGGUAAAAUCCGUAGAGAUAACUAGGAAUACCAAAAGCGAAGGCAAUCUUCUGGAACACUACUGACGCUGAGGCGCGAAAGCGUGGGGAGCGAACAGGAUUAGAAACCCUAGUAGUCC